rnacentral:rRNA from 1 species
AACGAACGCUGGCGGCAUGCCUAACACAUGCAAGUCGAACGAGACCUUCGGGUCUAGUGGCGCACGGGUGCGUAACGCGUGGGAACCUGCCCUUAGGUUCGGAAUAACUCCCCGAAAGGGGUGCUAAUACCGGAUAAUGUCUUCGGACCAAAGAUUUAUCGCCUUUGGAUGGGCCCGCGUUGGAUUAGCUAGUUGGUAGGGUAAAAGCCUACCAAGGCGACGAUCCAUAGCUGGUCUGAGAGGAUGAUCAGCCACACUGGGACUGAGACACGGCCCAGACUCCUACGGGAGGCAGUAGUGGGGAAUAUUGGACAAUGGGCGAAAGCCUGAGACAGCAAGGCCGCGUGAGGGAUGAAGGCCUUAGGGUUGUAAAGCUCUUGUACCCGGGAUGAUAAUGACAGUACCGGGAGAAUAAGCUCCGGCUAACUCCGUG